rnacentral:misc_RNA from 1 species
UACGUAGGGGGCGAGCGUUGUCCGGAUUUAUUGGGCGUAAAGGGCGUGUAGGCGGCCUGCUAAGUCAGGGGUGAAAACCCGGAGCUCAACUCCGGGACUGCCUCUGAAACUGGUAGGCUUGAGUGCUCUAGAGGGCAGUGGAAUUCCCGGUGUAGCAGUGAGAUGCGUAGAGAUCGGGAGGAACACCAGUGGCGAAGGCGACUGCCUGGGGAGUAACUGACGCUGAGGCGCGAAAGCUAGGGGAGCAAACAGG